rnacentral:lncRNA from 1 species
AAUAAUAAUGCAAACGGAGCUGGCGUGCCCUUUAUUUGACUGGUUUAAAAGUGCCAAAUCAGAUGCCACAAUGAAAUUAAAAAUGCGACGUUAUCCAUAUUUAUUCCUAAAAAUGAAAAUAAAUUAAGAUAUAAGAAAAAAAGAAAAAAAAUGUAGUUCCAGCUUCCUCUCUCUAGACAAUAAUGCCAACUCUUCCGCCGCCGUAAAGAUGCACCAUCGUCGACAACAAAC